UGACGCGGGGCUCGAACUCACAGACCGCGAGAUCGUGACCUGAGCCGAAGUCGGACGCUCAACCGACUGAGCCACCCAGGCGCCCCAAAGACCAGCUUUUUAAGGUCACGGUUUGUCCGGGGUGUGUCACGAGGCAGGCAGAACAGUCCCUGCUUCCGCACGCACGGCCGGCUCACGCCUGAGUCCCGGCUCCCAAACGCCCUUUUCAUUUCCUGGUUUAAUGGCUGUUUCGAUCCCACCAGCUUCAUUUGAAAAACCCGUCCAUUCAUCACAAAAGCAAACCAUACGAUCAGACAAGCUGGGUCUGUGCCUCUGGACGCCACGUCCUAUCCCGCCCUGGAUGACAAGCAACUUGCACACCUGCCUUUACGGACACAGCAGGUCUCGAGUCGUGACUCGUCUCCCAAACUGCAAAUUUGCACGCAGUUCGCUGAGACUUUGUGGACAGAUGAAUUGCAGCCGGGCAGUGGCUGCACCUAAAUUGUUGACGCAAUUAAAAAUUACACGUGCACAUCUAUGUGUGCACAAAAGCA